AUACGUAGGUCCCGAGCGUUGCGCGGAGUCACUGGGCGUAAAGCGUCCGCAGCCGGCCCCGUAAGCGGGAUGUCGAAGCCCGCCGCUCAACGGCGGAACGGCAUCCCGAACUGCGGGGCUUGAGGCGCGCCCGGGCAGGCGGAAUUCCCGGGGUAGCGGUGAAAUGCGUAGAUCUCAGGAGGAACACCGAAGGGGAAGCCAGCCUGCUGGGGCCGUCCUGACGGUCAGGGACGAAAGCCGGGGGAGCAAACCGGAUUAGAAACCCUAGUAGUCC
rnacentral:rRNA from 1 species